rnacentral:rRNA from 1 species
GUGAGGAAUAUUGGUCAAUGGGCGGGAGCCUGAACCAGCCAAGUCGCGUGAAGGAAGAAGGAUCUAUGGUUCGUAAACUUCUUUUGCAGGGGAAUAAAGUGCAGGACGUGUCCUGUUUUGUAUGUACCCAGAGAAUAAGGAUCGGCUAACUCCGUGCCAGCAGCCGCGGUAAUACGGAGGAUCCAAGCGUUAUCCGGAUUUAUUGGGUUUAAAGGGUGCGCAGGCGGGUUGAUAAGUCAGCGGUGAAAGUUUGCAGCUUAACUGUAAAAUUGCCGUUGAAACUGUCGAUCUUGAGUGCAAAUGAGGUAAGCGGAAUGUGUUGUGUAGCGGUGAAAUGCUUAGAUAUAACACAGAACACCGAUUGCGAAGGCAGCUUACUGGGAUGCAACUGACGCUCAUGCACGAAAGCGUGGGGAUCAAACAGGAUUAGAAACCCCUGUAGUCC